UCGCGGCUUAUCACCGGCAGUCCCCUUAGAGUGCCCAACUGAAUGAUGGCAACUAAGGGCGAGGGUUGCGCUCGUUGCGGGACUUAACCCAACAUCUCACGACACGAGCUGACGACAGCCAUGCAGCACCUGUGCACCUCCCAGCCGAACUGAAAGAAAACAUUUCUGUCUCCUAUAGAGGGCAUGUCAAGACCUGGUAAGGUUCUUCGCGUUGCCUCGAAUUAAACCACAUGUUCCACCGCUUGUGCGGGUCCCCGUCAAUUUCUUUGAGUUUUAAUCUUGCGACCGUACUCCCCAGGCGGGGUGCUUAACGCGUUAGCUGCGCCACUGAGAGGUAUCCCCCCAACGGCUAGCACCCAUCGUUUACAGCGUGGACUAC
rnacentral:misc_RNA from 1 species